rnacentral:tRNA from 1 species
UCCUCAGUAGCUCAGUGGUAGAGCGGUCGGCUGUUAACUGACUUGCUGUGGACUGGGGAG